AUGUCGGAAAAGAAUCGAGACGCGGAAAGGAUGAAUCGCGAAGGUGGCGCUGAUGCUUGGGGUUCUCAAAGGCCAGAAACACCGCCUUGGGAUGCAGUAGAGUAUAGUCAACUCAUCUCUGCAGGGCCGUUGCUGCCACUACUAGAACAGUAUGCAGGCGUAGGUUCUUAUGACCAAAACACUCUCAGGGGGGCCCCAUGGCAAGUUCAGUCACAAGGCGCUAACACUGACGUAUUUACGGGCAACCAACCUCAACUAGCUAGUAUGGCUAAUCAAGGGCCUUCAUGCAGCACGUGGCAUCAGCCAGCACCCAUGUACCUGCCAUCGACAUCAUACACAGAACCUACAACUACAGUGAACAGCGGUGCGGGGACAUCUACUGCGGGGAGCUCUGAGCGCACGGAAGACGCGUUCCACCAGUCAGCAGACUGUCAUGCCGCAAACAAUUUCGAGUCAGAGUCGGGAAUGGCAAUCAUUCCAGCAAUGCCGAUGAGCACCCCUUUGAACCGUGUCAGGAACAUGUAUUGGGUGGAUGGUGCUACAAGGAGAGCCUACAAACAUUUCCGAGAUUGCAUUUCAUUCGACACGACGUACCUCACCAAUAUGUACAAGAUGCCAUGCGCUCCGUUCAUAGAAAUAAAUAACCACAAUCAGUCGUUGCAGUUCGGAUGCGGCCUCGUCCGGAACGAAGACACAGAUGGGUACGUUUGGCUGUUCAAGACCUUCUUGGAGUGCAUGGAUGGACUUGCUCCGAUGAACAUAAUAAUAGACCAAGAUUUCAGCAUGCGUGCAGGCAUAGAAAAGGUCUUUCCGUUGGCAGUGCACAGGCACUGCAGGUGGCACAUUAUAAAGAAGGCUGAGGAGACGCUAGGACCGUUCUUUGCCGACCGUCCAGAGCUGCACAAGGCAUUCGAGCUGUGCGUGGACCACAACUUGUUGGUGGAGGAGUUUGAAAGGAGCUGGAUGGCCAUGACUGAAACACAUCAAGUCCAGGACAACGAGACUCUUGUUAGCCUGUGGGAGAAGCGAAUGUACUGGGUGCCGGCCUACUUCAUGCAGUGCUUCUUCCCCUUUCUGCAGACUACGCAGCGCAGCGAGGGGUUCAAUGCUGUUUUAAAGCGGUACGUCAGCCCUGGCAACUCAUUGCUACAGUUUGCCAAGCAGUACACAGCUUUGCAACAAAAAAUUCUGGGAUCUGAGCUACAGCAAGAAGCGACCACAGCCCUAAAGCAACCAAAAUUGCUAACGUAUUUACCGAUGGAGAGGCAAAUGAGCAAGAUAUACACCAACAAGAUCUUUAACAAAUUCUAG
rnacentral:rRNA from 1 species